GCCGGUGCAGUGCCACGUGCCUGUAGUUGCAGCUACUCAGGAGGCUGAGGUGGGAGGAUUGCUCGAGCCCAGGAGUUCUGGGCUGUAGUGUGCUAAUGCUUAGUGCAGACACUAAGUUCAGCAUCAAUAUGGCGACCUUCUGGGAGUGGGGGACCACCAGGUUGCCUCAGGAGGAGUGAACCGGCCCGGUCAGAAACUCCCAUUCUGAUCAGUAGCAGGAUCGUGCCUGUGAAUAGCCACUGCACUCCAGCAUGGGCAAUAUAGCGAGACCCUGUCCCC
rnacentral:SRP_RNA from 1 species